GAAAGAAUGGGGUUACCAGAGCCAAUGAACAGCAAGUCACAAUGGAUAUUCCUGAGCCCAUCCUCUGGUGGAUAUGGCUUCUUCCCAGAGAGAAAACAUCACUGUGUUUGCAAGAAUCAGAGGAAUCCCACAAGGAUUUCACAUGUAAAAACCAGCCUAGAGUCAGGUGCAAUGUCCUGCAUUUGCUACACACCUUUCACACAGAAAGUUUGGGACAAAUAAUGUGCAGUUAUGGCCCAGCAGCUAGGCUGUGUAUGGCUUCCUAUAUCAAAGACACACAAAG